rnacentral:rRNA from 1 species
GGGUCAGUAGGUUGGUCGUGCCACUGGUACGUACUGGUCUCACUGAUUCCUCCUUCCUGAAGAAUCGUAAUGCCAUUAAUUUGGUGUUGCGGGGAAACAGGACUGUUACUUUGAAAAAAUUAGAGUGUUUAAAGCAAGCUAACGCUUGAAUACAUUAGCAUGGAAUAAUGAAAUAGGACGAUCGAUCCUAUUUUGUUGGUUUCUAGGAUUGACGUA